rnacentral:rRNA from 1 species
ACGGGGAGCACCACAACAGGUGGAGCCUGCGGUUUAAUCGGACUCAACGCCGGGAAACUCACCAGAUAAGACAGCUGAAUGAUAGUCGGGCUGAGGACUCUACUUGACUAGCUGAGAGGAGGUGCAUGGCCGUCGUCAGUUCGUACUGUGAAGCAUCCUGUUAAGUCAGGCAACGAGCGAGACCCACGCCAACAGUUGCCAGCUCGUCCUCCGGGAUGGUGGGGACACUGUUGGGACCGCCUCUGCUAAAGAGGAGGAAGGAAUGGGCAACGGUAGGUCAGCAUGCCCCGAAUUAUCUGGGCUACACGCGGGCUACAAUGGGUGGGACAAUGGGUAUCGACACCGAAAGGUGAAGGCAAUCUCCUAAACCCAUCCGUAGUUCGGAUUGUGGGCUGCAACUCGCCCACAUGAAGCUGGAAUCUGUAGUAAUCGUGUCUCAAAAUGGCACGGUGAAUAUGUCCCUGCUCCUU